rnacentral:tRNA from 1 species
GGGGGAUAGCUCAAGUGGUAGAGCACAUGCUUAGCAUACAUGAGGUCUUGGGUUCAAUCCCCAGUACCUCCA